CAGAUUGCAAAACUCCCAAACCAUCGUGAACGUUACCUACAUCGUUGCUUCGGCGGGUGGCGGGCUUCGGCCCUGCCCUCGGCCCCUCUCGGGGGCCCGCCGGAGGUACACCAAACUCUUGAAUUUACAUGGCCUCUCUGAGUCUUCUGUACUGAAUAAGUCAAAACUUUCAACAACGGAUCUCUUGGUUCUGGCAUCGAUGAAGAACGCAGCGAAAUGCGAUAAGUAAUGUGAAUUGCAGAAUUCAGUGAAUCAUCGAAUCUUUGAACGCACAUUGCGCCCGCCAGUAUUCUGGCGGGCAUGCCUGUCCGAGCGUCAUUUCAACCAUCAAGCCCCCGGCUUGUGUUGGGGACCUGCGGCACACCCGCAGGCCCUGAAAACCAGUGGCGGGCUCGCUGUCCACACCGAGCGUAGUAGCAUAUCUUUGUCUCGCUCAGGGCGUGCGGCGGGUUCCGGCCGUAAACCCACCUUCUCGAAGGUACCCAAAGGUUGACCUCGGAUCAGG
rnacentral:rRNA from 1 species